UACGGGGGAGCAAGCGUUGUUUCGGAUUUACUGGGCGUAAAGGGCGCGUAGGCGGUCAGCACAAGUCAGUUUGUGAAAUCUCCGGGCUUAACCCGGAAAGGUCAACUGAUACUGUGCGACUAGAGUGCGGAAGGGGCAACUGGAAUUCUCGGUGUAGCGGUGAAAUGCGCAGAUAUCAGGAGGAACACCGAUGGCGAAGGCAGGUCUCUGGGCCAUAACUGACGCUGAGAAGCGAAAGCAUGGGGAGCGAACAGGA
rnacentral:rRNA from 1 species